CCUACGGGGGGCAGCAGUGAGGAAUAUUGGUCAAUGGGCGGGAGCCUGAACCAGCCAAGUCGCGUGAGGGAAGACGGUCCUACGGAUUGUAAACCUCUUUUGCCGGGGAGCAACGGGGUCCUUGCGAGGGCCCAAUGAGAGUACCCGGAGAAAAAGCAUCGGCUAACUCCGUGCCAGCAGCAGCGUUAAUACGGAGGAUGCGGGCGUUAUCCGGUUUUAUUGGGUUUAAAGGUUGCGUAGGCGGGCUUUUAAGUCAGCGGUCACAUGUCGGGGCCAAACCCCGGCCUGCCGUUGAAACUGGUGGCCUCGAGUGGGCGAGAAGUAUGCGGAAUGAGUGGUGUAGCGGUGAAAUGCAUAGAUAUCACGCAGAACUCCGAUUGCGAAGGCAGCAUACCGGCGCCCUACUGACGCUGAGGCACGAAAGCGUGGGUAUCGAACAGGAUUAGAUACCCCUGUAGUC
rnacentral:rRNA from 1 species